UAACGCCUAACCACUCAAUCUAUAUCUUGUUUCUUAUUUAUUUUAGUCACUUAAUUGUAUAUAUUUUGUAAUAGCCCAAAUCUGCCCGGGCCCAUAAUUAAAUAAAUAAAACCGAAAACAAAAAUAAAUAAAUAAAUGUUUAUUUGUUUUUUAACAGUCUAUGUAUAAGCCCAAAAUUCGGUUGCCUUUAACCCAGAAUACCUAAAACUACCCAUUAACCCAUUUACUCCCAACCCACAAGCAGGAACGACCCAAAUGGCCCAAUGUGUUAACAGAUGAAGGAAGACCUAGGGUUUUUGGAACCCUAGGCGUCGUAAACAGAAAGUUCCAGAAGCCAACCAAACGUCACACCCCUUUAGUUUCCGUCGUUCCAGCUACCCACUAUCAAGGCCACGAUUCUAGGCUCUGAGUCACGCUGUGAUCAACGCCACCGGUGGAUCUACGUCACCAUCACGAUCAUUUCCGGAUUUUCCUUGCUCAUCUGCACACAAAUGAAAGAAAAGCAGCAUACAAAAUAAGAAGGAAUCGAAGGAAAUUAUUCUUACCAAAUAUACUGUAAACAGUGGCUAUAAAAGCCCGAAUCGAAAAAGAUGUAAAGGACUGAUUUUUACGUUUUCAAAAUACGUACAUAGAUUCAAUAAAAAGUUUAUUUUUACAUACAUAUACAGAAAGGAGUACUACAGUCGAUCGAAAUAUGCAAAGGUGAAAUUUUUUAAAAUAUAUGUACAUAUAUAUAUUGCAAAUAAUAAAAAGGAAAGGGAUACCUUUAAUCGGCGUUGAAAGGCGAGGUUUUUAAACCUCUGGCCACCGUAUGCGAUGGAGACGAUGGGGGUGCGUGAGCGCGUGCGCACCCCUGGAUGGAGGUCCGGUGACACUCCGAGAGCCCCUCCCCAACUCUCUUUCAGAGAGUUUCUUUUUUUUUUUCUUUAGA
rnacentral:lncRNA from 1 species